UGCAGAGUUUCAAGAACUGCAAACAACUGUUGUGACAUCUUGCGAUGCGAUCUUCCAGGAGGCCUAUGGGUCGGUUUUCAUCACCACUCUUGUCCUUGGAUUCAGCCCGUCCAUCGAUGGAAACACUACAAUAGAGGUGGAGCUUGUUUUCAAUAACACAGCAUCACCCGAAGUGACCGUUUCAACUGCCGAUGUACUGGAGACCAUGACGACGGCAGCAACCAACACCUCCGCUGGCGGAUUCUCCUUUGAUCCUGAAUCUAUUGUUGUCACAGAAACGCCAACCUCAACGACAGCACCAACAACAACUACGGCAACUCCAG